rnacentral:tRNA from 1 species
GGGUGGAGUGGGUCAGUGCGUCUGGCUGUUAACCAGAAGGUGGGUGGUUCGAGCCCACCUCG